GACGAACGCUGGCGGCGUGCUUAACACAUGCAAGUCGAACGGAAAGGCCCUGCUUUUUUGGGGUUCUCGAGUGGCGAACGGGUGAGUAACACGUGAGUAACCUGCCCUUGACUUUGGUAUAACUUCAGGAAACUGGGGCUAAUCCCGGAUAGGAGCUCCUGCUGCAUGGUGGGGGUUGGAACUUUUCGGCGGUAGGGGAUGGACGGGCGGCUUAUCAGCUUGUUGGUGGGGUUGUUGCUUACCAAGGCUUUGACGGGUCGCCGGCACGGGAGGGUGACCGGGGACAAGGCGCCUGAGGGAGGGAGCAGAGGGGAAUGGGGGGCAGUGGGGGGGAGCAUGGUACAACGAGAGCGAGUCGGUGGAGGAGACGCUGGGGUUGGGAAGACGGUUUGUGGGGAAAGAAAAGCAGCAGGUUGAGACCAAGCUGGAGUGACGGUAACGAGUGAAUAAGCACCGGCUAACUACGUG
rnacentral:rRNA from 1 species